rnacentral:lncRNA from 1 species
UUCUGGAUUCAAGCUGAGUAUUCACCUGUUCUUGCCCGGUUCUCUCAGAAGUGGGAAACCUUUAUGUUUUAUGUGAACAGAAGUUCCUUCCACAGACACAAACAUGUGAAGCGCUCAGUCCAGGGCGCACACUCCCUGGGCUCUUCCGAUCUUGCUCCACCUGCCGUGUUUGAUGUGAGAGGAACGACCUACCUGCAGAUAAGAUUGACUCUUCUGUUUCUUGGCUUGGGCAUAGGACAGAGACGAGUCCAACUGAACAGGAACUUGACCAGAGCAGAAAAGGUCCAGCUCGGUGAUGCAUCUCAAAGUGAGCCUGUGUGCGAUGACUGCUCCGAGGAAGCACUGGAUCUCUGCGAACAGUCUGGAAGCUGCUCUGAGACCCGUCCAGGCAGUGCCCUUCCUUCUUCCCAGAGGUGACUGUGAUCUCGACUCCCAGGAUGAUUACUUUUCUGCUUUUCUCUCCAAGCAAAGCACUGCAGCUUAGUUCUGCAUAUGUUUUGAGCUUUAUGUCCACGGAGUCCUACAGUACGUACUCUUCUGUGCGUAUCUUUUGUUGCUGAACGUUGUAGUCAUCAGUGUUGCUCCAUAGCUCUAGUCACUCAUUUUCAUCACUGCACAGAAU